rnacentral:rRNA from 1 species
UAGCCCUAAAUCUUGAUGACCCCAAACACAAACAUCCGCCUGAGAACUACGAGCACAAACGCUUAAAACUCUAAGGACUUGGCGGUGCUCUAAACCCACCUAGAGGAGCCUGUUCUAUAAUCGAUAACCCACGAUUCACCCGACCACCUCUUGCCAAAACAGCCUAUAUACCGCCGUCGCCAGCCCACCUCCUGAGAGCACAACAGUGAGCCCAACAGCCCACAGCCCACUAACAAGACAGGUCGAGGUAUAGCCUAUGAGGUGGAAGAAAUGGGCUACAUUUUCUAAAAUAGAAAACCCAACGAAAAGGGGCUUGAAACCUGCCCCCAGAAGGCGGAUUUAGCAGUAAAGUAGGA